UGCAACUAUAUAUAUAACUAUAUAUAUAACUAUAUAUAUAAUAUAACCACUUGCAGAUAUAGGUCCACUACUGAGAGAUAGGCACUGAAACUCUUCCCAUUUCAGGUGCCAGAAUUGGACACCUCAUGUUCCUAUACAACGUGCAGGGAGAUUCAAGUUCCUCAGGAAGAUGACUGUGGUUAUGCAGCAGGGUUUCCAUCACUGGCAAUGAGAAAAAGGAAAAGAAUGGAAGGGAGAGAAUUGUCAUCUACAUGAAAGAUCACUUUGGCAAAUAAAGAAGAAAGAAGGUAACAAUGAAGAUCUUUGAAAAAUCGUUUAUCAGACUACAAGUCCCCUGGUGUGUUAAACAAGGACGAAAUCAUGGAGAAUCAUUCCAAACACCCACAUCGUGAAGGUCACUAAGUGCAGAAUUAGCACAGACAUCAGCUUCAGGAUGAUGGUUGCCAAGUCCUGGGUGCACCUGGCUGAAACCGAAACAUAAUCAUCCUGGGAUUUCUUGGUCCUUGUGCCUGGUUCCAGUUGAAAAUUAUCAGAAGUCAAUUACAGCCUAUUAGCAAGAACUUGGAUUGUCAAGAGAAUGAAAUUUUGAUGAGCUUCUUGGCACACUCAGUCUGAGUAGGAGGCUAUCUUUUCCAAAUAACCGUGCAGGAGAAUAUGGUUGUUUGGCUGACUUCAAAGACAGCUGUACUGGCAACAACUAAAUCGUUUCUGGGUCAGUCACAUGGGUGUAUGUAGCUUGUUUCAGCAUGAGUGUUCUUCCAGUUCCCUGUUUCUCUCUCACAGGUUUUCCCCAGUGUCUACUCUUUGAUUCAGAUGGAUAUUAACAACAACAUAUUUAAUGAAAACAUUAUGUAAAUAUUUCAUGAAAUCUCUGUAAAUAAUUUUUGUGGCUGAAAUGAAGACAUUGUAAUGGAUAUAUUGUGUAAAAAUGCUUUCUGAUUAUUUUAAGAAAUCAUAUGUUCUCUCAAUUCCAUUUAGCUAUAAUGAUGUUUAGUGAAGGAAACACAUUGAAAAUAUGUUUUUAAUGUUAUGGGACUUUCUUAUUUUGCUGUAUAAGCACACAACUGUACAUCCAAAAUUAUUCUGCUGAAGGGCGUAAUGGAAUCUGGAAAUAUGGAAACAUGUCAGAGACAUAGAGGAUGAUAAAGGGAGGUCUUAUUGGUAGAUGUGUUGCCCACUGAAAUGAAUAAUGUCUGUUAUAACAUUAGCCUAGAUUUAUACAGAAGUCUAUAUAGUUUAAUGGUCCAAACUCUACAGUGCCAGGAAACAGAAAAAGCUCUGGGGAAAUAAUUUGGAAACUACCUGAUAAUCCCUGCAUGUAAUGUCUGCCUGAGUAGGUGAGGGGCUGGGCAGAGCCACAUCCUGCAAAUACUAUGGAACUCAAGGAAUACCAUGUCCUUAAUUCAACCUCUGUGUAUGAGGAGCAGUGAACCUACUUCCCUACACUGGGUCAGAAGCCUCAUUUUGUGGUUACAGGGCACGUGGAGAAGGUCAGCUGUGAUUCCAGAAGGAUUAGUGAGUGUGCAGCUAUUUUUAAAAUGCUAUUUCUAAUCAAAUAUAUACUUGUUUCCAAAAGGAAUGAGGUUUGCGCAAUUAGGGUGCGUCUCCUACCAACUUACUCUCCUUUUGCACCUAUUAAGUAGUUUUCACUGGAUUUAAUAUAAUGGCAGACCAAAAUUUGUGUGGGUUUUUUUUGGUAUAUGUGGGAUUUUUGUUGAGGUUUUUUGUUAAAAUUAAUUUUGGUGAAGAUUUUGGAGUGAUUAAGAGAAAGAGUUGCACAUUUUGACAAGGGAAAAAACAAGUAGUUUAUGAUUGAUGUAGGAAAAAUAAACACAAGAAGUAAUAACACAAUGUCAGGAACUGAUAUAUCUACUAUUUCUGAUAUGAUUUCUUCUAAUUUUGAGAUUAUGGAGAUUCAGUCUUAUCAACAUUAUUUUUCCCACUGAAUGGGAAGAUUUCUGCCCAAGUAUAAGCAAAAGUUCAGUUACUGCAAAAAACUCUACCACAAAGAUCCAUGUUUUCCUCAUUUUGUAGUACAACAUUGUACAGGGCUAUGCUUUCUAAAGUGACAAUUCAUGUAUUAAUCAUCACUAUUUCUAUUCAUUUUUAUAAUGACUGUAAAAACCCCAUUCUAGUCAUUAUUUCAAUCCCUGUCUUCUGCUCCUAGACUUUUUCUCUUUUUCAGGCAUGAUUAUAGGGUAGGGAACAAUUUGUUAAAAAAGCUGAAAACUGAAUGGAGUUUGAAUAAAGAUAUUUAGUUGCAAACAUUAGUGACAAACACUAAUGUGCAGAUCCAUGGAAAUCAAAUCACCAUGGAAUUAAAUUUGUACUUGUUGGCUUUUCAAACAAGAAGGAUGAACUUUGCUUUCAGUUUCGGAGAGGAAAUAAAUAGGAUU